rnacentral:rRNA from 1 species
UACGUAGGGGGCAAGCGUUAUUCGGUGUAACUUGGCGUAAAGGGCAUGUAGGCGGUGAUUGGAAUACCAACACUGAAUCCCCUCGUACACCGAGCGGAGAGUGUGGUCACAUUCACUUGAGUAAAGCAGAGGAAAGUGGAAUUUCGUGUGGAGAGAUAAAAUUCGAUGAUAUACGAAGGAAGGCCGAAGGCGAAGGCAACUUUCUACUUCAUACUGACGCUGAGGUGCGAAAGCAUGGGGAGCAAACAGG